AUUGGAUUAACUAUUGUCUUAAUGUUCUGAUCUAUUUAUGCACGGAUAAGCUACUAACUUAUAAAAUAGUUCAACAAACAACAUGUACAAGCGCCACAAUCAUAUAACAGGUAUGAUAUUAUACAACGUUUUCAGCUUACGAUUAUUACAUCACUGAAUUUUGUUUGCCAAUUUUUUAAUAACUUAUAUUGGGUUCGAACCUGCUACAUAUUGAAUUAUAAUCGAAGUAUUGACCACUAGAC